rnacentral:rRNA from 2 species
ACACGACUCUCGGCAACGGAUAUCUCGGCUCUCGCAUCGAUGAAGAACGUAGCGAAAUGCGAUACCUGGUGUGAAUUGCAGAAUCCCGUGAACCAUCGAGUCUUUGAACGCAAGUUGCGCCCGAGGCCAUCCGGCCGAGGGCACGCCUGCCUGGGCGUCACGC